UGGCUGGGCUAGGGGGUGUUCCGCUGCUUGCUCACUCUUUUUUUUUUUUUUUUAAGAUUUAAGGGAAAUGUGGACUUUUAUCAUCUUAUGAACUGAAAAUGUGUUGAAACAUUCUAUAAUAUAGAUCGAAUGUAGCUGAGAUCAUUGACAGAUGAUUAAUUCAUGUGUGAGAUGGAGAAUCCCAGGACUUGAGAAACAGAAGUUGUCAGGUGUCUGUGGUUUGCUGAUCACCCAACUGAAAUAACGAGGUGAAUUCCUUUUACUGAAAACAGUGACUCAGAAUUUGGUUCAUAGGCACAAUUGCACCAUGAGGAUAUCUAGAUGGAUCACAAUGAUAAUAUGGGAAAAAACAGAAGCCUCAGUGACUUUUUUUCAACUGACAUAGAUUCUUCCUUCAAGUAGUCAGGAGGAAGUGUGAAACUCAAUUGAUGAAUUGUCUCCAUCCUACUCUGCUGUCAUCAUAUUGUACUGUCCUGAAUUUGGUUGGUUAAAGUUUGAAGUCAGAAGCCCAUUGUGGGAAAUCUCACUCCUGGGGAAGUCUUCGAAGUUUCUAUAAGAAAUCAAGAUAAAUGAGCCAUGGUGAAUAAGCCAAUUGAAAAAAAUCAGGGUUGAUCAAGGAAAAUCCCCUGCAACACCCCUGAUGGUAGUGGAUGGUUCAAAUGAUUCAACAACUCAGAGAGCAUGUGUUUCAGUUUCCUCUGAGUUAUACAUGCAGAAUAACUUCAAGCUAGUGAGGCUCAUCCCCUGUACUUCUCAGGAUGUUAUACUAGAUGUCUACAAGUCACAAAGUUCCAUUUCCUAGGAGCUCUCAUCUGGGAAUUGAGAAGACUUAUUUUCAAGUUCAUAUACCAGGCUACAAAUCUUGGAGAAAGACUUUGAUAUGACAAGGACUAUCAGAAGAUCUUAAUGCCACUUUUGAGUGAAGGAACCAUCCUCCAUGACUCCUAGAGUUGGAACAUCCAGUAACACCAAACCAACAAAGGAUUAAGAAGAAUUGAUAGUCAGGAGCUGACUCAAACCCAUAGGAGUGAGGGUCCUGCAAGAUUGUGUUUUAAAGAGGAAGUACAGGGGUGAGAAAUAAAGAAGACAUAUAUCUGGCACUAUAGGUUUUACAGAGCUGAUAAUCAUUUCAAGAAAAUUUAUUAAAAAGUACAGCAUCUUAUAUACUAUUUACAGGGAGAAUUAGCCAUGGUCAGUAGAAUGCUAAAUCAGAGAAUGUUGCCAAAGAAAACAAGUGUUGCCUCAGAUACAGCUGUUAUAGGACUGACAACCACAGAUAAUCAGAGGAAAAAGCCUAUUUCCCUGGAAUCAAAACCUUAAAUCCUUUGACACCUAGGUUCUAGUCCCAGACCCAACCUACACAUCUGUUUCUGGACAAGGACAUAGAACUAAUGUCCUCCUUGUACUUUUAUAAGUUCUACUGUGAAGGCCUCAGAAACUUCUGACUUCCUACUAUUCUCCUUGAGUAAUAUAUUAAGUCCAGAUGAAUUAUUUUUGUUUGAAUGGCUAAGAGACCUGACACAUUUUAACCAACAAAUAUCUCAGAAUAUUGCCAAAGAAUCAUUAACACAAGUAAUUAGAAGAUAAUACUAAACUAAAUGAAUGUUGAAGGAUAUAAAAAGGCAUGCCAUCUCUGAGCUGCUAUAAUAAACAUUUGUGUAGCUUCAGAGGAUAACUGAAUCCAAGAUGAAUAUGUACCAUAUUGGUAACUAAUAGCCUUAUUGUUAAUAACUCUAUUGUAACAUUACCAUGAAGCCAUAUAACCAGCAAAUGAUUUUCAAUUUUAUCAUUUUUAAAUCUUCAUUGUACCUUAAAGGAUUAACACAGAUACAUAAUUAACAUAGCACAGAGAAGACCCAUUAACACAAACACAAAGACGUAUAACACUGUCAAGUUUAUUGAUAUUGUUUUGCUUGUACUGUAUCUCCUUGGUGUAAUACCAUAACUUCUAAACCAUGUAACUUAGUAUAUUUUAUUUGCAUACCUGUGUUUUGUAUUGUCAAAAUUCCAGAAGUAUUAUAAGCAAGCUGUUUAAUAAAAUGGACAAUUUGCAUUUGAUGUGUAAGGCAUACUGUGCAUGCAGCUACAAAUGCCAUGACUACUUCAAAAAUGCAUGUUACAAUAAGACCUAGUUAUCUCUUCCUUUUUGUAAGAGUUGGAUGCAGCUCAAGGAGAACCUGUUGUCCAAAAUCACCAUACUAUGUAUCAUUAAGAGGCACAAAACAUACAAAGAAAGGCUGAAGAAGCAAGAGAUGGCUUUUAUGAACAGAGGGCAAGUUAACACAUUAAAUAGGAUAUAACAGAUCCAAAUAAUUGUGAUGGAACACACGUCACUGUGAAUUUAGGAACUUCCAGUCAGUGAUACAUAUAUGGAUGGUUAAAUCAGGCAGUUAGUCAAAUGUGAAAUGAGGUCUAUGUCAUACUUAUUUUCUCCAAAAUCUCAAUGGUGAACAAAUUGUCCAGGUUUGUGGCUAACAGCAAAUGUCUGGUAAAACCAUUUUCUUGGAAAUAAUAUGACAUGACAUAGAGAGUGAGGAUGUUCUACGAAUUUAUCUUUAUCCAUACCAGGUUAGUGCCUUCAAGACAAGUUGCCCUUCACCUCAGGUUGUUCAGUCAGAGGCACAGAGUUGCUGAUGCAUAGAGGCAAGGAGAGAAAGAACCAUGAAGCUUGUCACCUGAAGGUGUAAGGGACUUUGUUCUCAAACAGGAGCACCAGACUCAAACAGAAUACAAAGAAAUGUUUUUCAAAUGGGGUAACUUGUGAGGGAUUAGAGACUGAAAAACUCAAGUGAUGAAUGGUUGAUGUGAUUAUAAUAAACUGUACAUCAGAUCCCUCAUGUAUGGCAAAGACAUAACCUUUAUACAUCACUCAGCUGAGAGAGACACAUCCAUAAUGACCUACCGAUGACAAACAAGUAGGAAUGGUGAAUGAUAUCCCAUUACAACAAAACAGAACAGUGUAAGGCACUAUAUGAGGAACAUCAAGAGAAUCAGAUACAGCAUUCUGAUACUUUUACCUAUCAUAUAAUAUUAUAAUAGCCAGCUAUUUUUAAAUGAACUUUAAUUUGAUAUAUAUAAUAGACAGUUUUGUAACUGUUGAUGUUAAACCGUAAAAAUGUUGGUAUCAUUGAUACUACCUUUAAGUCUCAUGCUCUUGGUACCUUAUAUCAUCUUCUAUAUAACUUAAAUAACUCAUUCUGUGCUUCACAACUCAAAAACCAUCCAGGUUUCCAUGAGCAUAAAUUAUUCUGAGUCUUCAUACAUAAAUCCCAUUUUUAUUGUUUUGUAUAUAACUCCUAACUUAAUAAAUUCUUCUCUUAACUUCAUAUAUUUAUUUUUUCAUUUUAUGAUUAUAAUUAAAUAAAUAUUAAUUAUUUUUCAUACCAUGAGAUAAUAUAGUUAUAAACAGAGAACUCUUGUUUUUUAUUUUUAAACAAAAUUGAUUUGGUUGGUGUGUCCAUCCUGUUAAUUGUGAAGGAGUAAAAAUAUUUAAUAAGUUUUAUUUUGAACAAUAUAGGGAGGCACUGCUGAAUACAGGAAGAUAGAAGUUAUUUAAUUCAGUUGAUAGAUAAGUAGAUUUGUAUUAGAUCCUAAAAUAUAAACAUGUUUGAUUAUAAUUCAUAUUUAAAGAGCUCUAUGAGUUCAGAAUUUGUUUAAAUUCCUUUAAAUGUUUGUGUUUAUAUAUAUAAAGUGUUUAUAUAUAUAUGCAUAUAUAUAUGUCAUAUUUAAUGGUUAAGACAUUUUACCUAAAGCAAUUAUCCCAAAGAAAAAAAAUGUCCUGAAACAUGGACACUCAUCUCUUUAGACAUGAAGAAUCAAGUGAGCCAAACUGAGCAGAUUUUUAGUACCAGCAGUUGUAUUUAUACUAUGAUUUUUGUUGCUCUUGUUGUUUAAAUCUUUUAGUUUCAAAGUGAUAGAUAUUGUUAUGGGAUACAUAAAAGGAAAUCUCCCAAUAUAUCUGAAAAAAGUCUAAUGGAGUCUCGAUUUACUGUUGCAAGCAGUGGAGCAGGAAUUAACCUCGAGUUUGUAGAUCAGCACCAAUUGUAGAGGAAUUUAUGGCUGGUCCAGAGACCACUUUAUCUUAGGAAUUUAUUUCUCUUCUAAAUGAGCAGAGACAAGUUUUUACCCAGAAAUAGUUUUAGUGAUUAAGAUAUUAAGAAUGCUUUCAGAAAAUACCAUAACUAUAGUUCAAUAGCCAACCACAGUCUCUCUGCUGGUCUGUUUAUCAUGAUGUAAAAGUGUAUCAAUUAAAUAAAAACGACGAUAUUAAACUUACACAAUAAACAUAUUCAGCUAAGGGAAGAUAAGCCCAUUUGUACUUGAUAUGGUGGUUGGAGGAGAUGGGAGAUAGAGAAAUCUUUUAAGUGUCUCUAAAAUAUGUUACUUAGUCAGUUAUAGUUUUGACCUUUUGUAAAUAAUAUCUUAGGUUGUUUUGUUCUAGAUUCAGUAACAUAGUCAGAGAGCUAUUCUGACCCAUUUGAGGAUUUUGGAAGACAUCAUUUUAAGAAAACACAGAGUCUGAUGUGGGGAGGUCAAAUUACCACAUUGCAGAAUCAGCUUUUAGGUCCAAACUGCACAGAAAAAUUUGCCAUCAGUGUCUGCUCUGCAUUAAUAGAGGGGUCUCACUAGCCUAACUACCACCUAAAAUGUGAUUCAGGGAAUUAGGUUUAGAUAAUUUACCUAGUAAAACCUGAUGUGCAGAAAUGAACAACAGGAGUGCUUUUAUAAUCCAGCUAUACUAUAUUUUAAUCCUGGUCAUUCCAAUCCUCCCUUUCUUUUAGUCUCAUAGUCUCAGUGAUUUUAUAUACUUACCACUGUUGAACUCACACUAGAUGAUUUCUGCUGUAAUUGAGUUUCAUGUCUAUGUACCAAUUUUCCAGGACACACAGGAAUAUGGAUCUCAAAAUGUGAUGUGUCAAUGAAAAAUGCUAAUGAAAAAUAAUGAAAAGAUAUAUCUGGAACCACAAGUUCUUGUAUAAACUGAUGACUUAUGCCAAGAAAGUUUAUUAAGAAGUGCAUCAUCCUCUGUCAUUAUUGUAGGAGGAUAAUGGGCUAAGACCAGCAGAAAGAUAAAUAAAAGAAUGUUGGCAGAGUGAACACAGGAUACCUUAGACAAAGCUGCAUUAGGACAGAUAGCCAAACAUUGUCAGGAGAAAGUUAGGUUCCCUGAAGUCAGAAUAUUUAGGAAAUAGAGACCCAGACCCCAUCCCCCUACUGGAUGCUGUUGAGUCUCUUUCAGGAGACAUAUAUAGAAUUAACAUUAUCUUUAUUUUUUUCAUCAUGGCCUCUGAGAAAGCUUGGAUCAGUCUGAUUACCACCAACAAACAUUGUGUCUCCUAGGCUGUCAUUUUACCUAUUGGGAUACCUAUUGUCAGUAACCUUUAAGAAAGGAAAUUUCGGUGUUUUCUACAUAUGGGAAUUACCUAAAUUUUAAAAGGCAGUGUGCAUUGGGAUAAAGAAAAAUUUUUGGAUAAGUCCCUAUAGGCCGAUGGUGACAUUGUAAGUAGUCAUAAAAGUUGCUUCCUGUGGGUAUCUCCAGACUUGAGCUAAGGGAUUUACAGCAGCAUUCUCCAGGCAUCUCUGAGAUCAGAGGGGGAUCAAAAUUGAUGACUUCUGUUUACAGGGGAUUAGUUCAAACUUUUACAUAGUUGAGGGUUCAUUUAAAUUGCUUUCCCCCAGACUUUGAAGAUUCCCCAAGGAAGUUGAGGCCUCACCUUCCUUGGGGAGCAGAAAGGGUUUGGGAUGGUGGUGGGGAGCAGGAGAGGAGGGGAGGGGAGGUGAGAAGGAGAAGGAACUUGGAUUGAUAUGUGAAAGAAGCUUGUUUCUAAUCAUAAUAAAAGCAACUUUUUCCCAAAUAAAAAUAUGUACCAUGCUGUGUAGAUGCCAGAAAUAGUUGUGGCCUACUUAGAGUGCUAAACAUUAAAUUUCUGAGUCAAGAUAAAUGAAUACAUUAAUAAAUAAAUUGUCUUUCCCUUGACUGGGAGAUUGUAGCACAUAGGGUCAAAGCAGCUGUCAGUCUUAAUACAGUCAGAAAUGUGUAUAUACUCUAUAAGCAUACCUUUUUUCAUAUUCCUGGCCUGUUCACUAUCGUGUUGAGUUCAGCUCUGCCAGCUUACAUAAGAUCAGCUCAUCUGGGCUUGGUGAUUAUUUCCAUAUCCUCAUAGAAAUUCAAGGAGUGUCACAUGACUUGUAUGUGAAUAUCUAGUGAUUCCCUGCCACCAGUUUUAUGCUAUUCUUUCCUUACUGCACUUGUACACCAGGAGGAGGACAGUUGAAACAUCAUAUAGACCAGUGAAGGAGCUGUGAGAAAUUCACCAUCUGUGUUGGAAAAAAAUUGUUCGGGUUAAGCCUUUGGAUGGAAGCCUCAUUCCAGUGAGCAACCGAUGCUCUGUUAUUAGCCCAGUAAACUCAGUUGGUUCCAAAGA